CUCUCUUUGCUGGCGACCGGCGCACGGGUGAGUAACACGUAUCCAACCUGCCCUUUACUCGGGGAUAGCCUUUCGAAAGAAAGAUUAAUACCCGAUAGUAUAAUGAUUCCGCAUGGUUUCAUUAUUAAAGGAUUCCGGUAAAGGAUGGGGAUGCGUUCCAUUAGGUUGUUGGUGAGGUAACGGCUCACCAAGCCUUCGAUGGAUAGGGGUUCUGAGAGGAAGGUCCCCCACAUUGGAACUGAGACACGGUCCAA
rnacentral:rRNA from 1 species